rnacentral:rRNA from 1 species
UACGGGGGGGGUAAGCGUUGUUCGGAAUUACUGGGCGUAAAGGGCUCGUAGGCGGCCAACUAAGUCAGACGUGAAAUCCCUCAGCUUAACUGGGGAACUGCGUCUGAUACUGGAUGGCUUGGAUUUGGGAGAGGGAUGCGGAAUUCCAGGUGUGGCGGUGAAAUGCGUAGAUAUCUGGAGGAACACCGGUGGCGAAGGCGGCAUCCUGGACCAAUAUUGACGCUGAGGAGCGAAAGCCAGGGGAGCAAACGGG